rnacentral:rRNA from 1 species
AACGAACGCUGGCGGCAUGCCUAACACAUGCCAGUCGAACGAGACCUUCGGGUCUAGUGGCGCACGGGUGCGUAACGCGUGGGAACCUGCCCUUAGGUUCGGAAUAACUCCCCGAAAGGGGUGCUAAUACCGGAUAAUGUCUUCGGACCAAAGAUUUAUCGCCUUUGGUUGGGCCCGCGUUGGAUUAGCUAGUUGGUAGGGUAAAAGCCUACCAAGGCGACGAUCCAUAGCUGGUCUGAGAGGAUGAUCAGCCACACUGGGACUGAGACACGGCCCAGACUCCUACGGGAGGCAGCAGUGGGGAAUAGUGGACAAUGGGCGAAAGCCUGAUCCAGCAAUGCCGCGUGAGUGAUGAAGGCAUUAGGGUUGUAAAGCUCUUUUACCCGGGAUGAUAAUGACAGUACCGGGAGAAUAAGCUCCGGCUAACUCCGUG